rnacentral:snRNA from 1 species
AUCGCUUCUCGGCCUUUUGGCUAAGAUCAAGUGUAGAUUAUCAUAAUUUUUUUUUUGUAUUUUUGUACAACCAACAUGUAUGAUUGAUAUCAAAAAUGGUUAUAAUGUCACUAAACAUAAAAUCUUGUGACCUCGU